rnacentral:misc_RNA from 1 species
CGGAGGCGGUCAGCGCAGAGAACUACGAUGCCGUCAUCGUCGGUUCCGGUAUCUCCGGAGCGAUCAUCGCGAAUGAGCUGAGCCGCGCGGGCAAGCGCGUCCUCAUUCUCGAGGCCGGUACCGGCGCCGAGCUAACGCUCAGCGGCUACCAGGAAGAUCUCCUGCGCUUCUACGCCACGGCCGCUAAGGACAAUCAGGCGCCGUACGCGCUCAAUCCGAACGCGCCCAUGCCGCGCAGCACGGACGCGCGCAAGAUCACCCCCGGCGUGCCGGCUACCUCAGCCUACCUGGUGCAGAACGGCCCCUUUUCGACGGAUACCACCUAUACGCGCGUGGCCGGCGGCACCACCAUGCACUGGGAAGCCAAAACGCCCCGGCUCCUUCCGGAAGACUUCAAGAUGAGAAGGCG